AGCAGCCGCGGUAAUUCCAGCUCCAAUAGCGUAUAUUAAAGUUGUUGCAGUUAAAAAGCUCGUAGUUGAAUUUCGGGGCCAGUAGGUUGGUCGUGCCACUGGUAUGUACUGGUCUCACUGAUUCCUCCUUCCUGAUGAACCGUAAUGCCAUUAAUUUGGUGUUGCGGGGAAUCUGGACUGUUACUUUGAAAAAUUAGAGUGUUUAAAGCAGGCUAACGCUUGAAUACAUUAGCAUGGAAUAAUGAAAUAGGACGUUCGAUCUUAUUUUGUUGGUUUCUAAGAUUGACGUAAUGAUUAAUAGGGAUAGUUGGGGGCAUUAGUAUUCAAUUGUCAGAGGUGAAAUUCUUGGAUUUAUUGAAGACUAACUACUGCGAAAGCAUUUGCCAAGGAUGUUUUCACUAAUCAAGAACGAAAGUUAGGGGAUCGAAGACGAUCAGAUACCGUCGUAGUCUUAACCAUAAACUAUGCCGACUAGGGAUCGGAUGAUGUUAAUUUUUAAUGACUCAUUCGGCGCCUUAAC
rnacentral:rRNA from 1 species